AUUGAACGCUGGCGGCAGGCCUAACACAUGCAAGUCGAGCGGCAGCGGGAAAGUAGCUUGCUACUUUUGCCGGCGAGCGGCGGACGGGUGAGUAAUGCCUGGGCAAUUGCCCAGGCGAGGGGGAUAACAGUUGGAAACGGCUGCUAAUACCGCAUACGCCCUACGGGGGAAAGCAGGGGCUCUUCGGACCUUGCGCGAUGGGAUAUCCCCAGGUGGGAUUAGCUAGUUGGUGAGGUAAUGGCUCACCAAGGCGACGAUCCCUAGCUGGUCUGAGAGGAUGAUCAGCCACACUGGAACUGAGACACGGUCCAGACUCCUACGGGAGGCAGCAGUGGGGAAUAUUGCACAAUGGGGGAAACCCUGAUGCAGCCAUGCCGCGUGUGUGAAGAAGGCCUUCGGGUCGUAAAGCACUUUCAGCGAGGAGGAAAGGUUGGCGCCUAAUACGUGUCAGCUGUGACGUUACUCGCAGAAGAAGCACCGGCUAACUCCGUGCCAGCCGCCGCGGUAA
rnacentral:rRNA from 1 species